rnacentral:rRNA from 1 species
CGCUCCGGAUCACGACGUGAUUACCCGCUGAAUUUAGCAUAUUAUUAGCAGCGAGGAAAGAAACUAACAAGGAUUCCCCUAGUAAGGCGAGUGAACGGGGAAGAGCCGAAACCCGAAUCCCUUGGCGCAAAGUCAACGGGAAAUGUGGGUGUGUUAAGGUAGCCCUUCGUGUCAGUCUAGGCGUCCUCAAGUCCACUCUGAUUGUGUGCUCAAGCCCAGAGAGGGUGUUAAGGCCCGUAGAGACGCUGCGACUUCGACUUCCUGGGGUGGUUUACCUACCGAGUCGGCUUGUUUGGGAAUUGCAGGCCAAAGCGGGUGGUAAACUCCAUCCAAGGCUAAAUACUGGCACGAGUCCGAUAGCGACAAAGUACCGUGAGGGAAAGUUGAAAGAACUUUGAAGAGAGAGUUCAAUAGUACGUGAAACGCUUAGAGGCAAACGGACUCGGUGCUCAUACUGGCCUGAGGAAUUCAACUGUGACGGUGGCUGACGAGCUGGCGUUCCGAUCUCUCUUUUGGGGGGCGGUGUCGUCGGUUUGGCUAUCAGCUCGACAUGGUUGCCAGCUUUCCUUGGUGCCUCCGCCACGACGACAGACACUGGCUACCGCGGCGCUGGGGUUAAGGUGACAAACUGCUUCGGCAAUUUGGUGUUAUAGACCCGGCGGCGUCGGACAUGGUUUGGCCAGGACGUCGAGCUUGCGGCUUCCGCCCGCGGCUCCUUGUGGCUCGUCAAUGUUUGGCUAGCUUGGCUGCGCCGAUGCUUGCACUGGACAACCGAGUACAGUGGACGGUGUGUGGUCUUGAUUCUCUAGUUGGCCUCUGCGAGUUUGGCGCCUAUAGUCUGUGGGCGUGUAGCUUGUGGUAAGACUAUCCGACCCGUCUUGAGAAACACGGACAAGGGAGUCUAACAUGUGCGCGAGUCAUGGGGAGAUUCUACGAAACCACAAGGCGCAGUUGAAAAGUAAAGGCCUGCUUCUCGUAGGCUGAGGUGGGACUGCUCGUGCAUUCGCGAUUGGCGCGACGCGCACCACCGGCCCGUCCUAUCUGUCUCUGUCAGUGGGGCGGCGCAAGAGCGUACACGUUGGGACCCGAAAGAUGGUGGAACUAUGCUUGCGCAUCUCGAAGUCAGUGGAAACAUGAUGGAUGGAGAGCGCAGCGUUUCUGACGUGCAAAUCGAUCGUCAAACGUGAGUAUAGGGGCGAAGACUAAUCGAACCAUCUAGUAGCUGGUUUCCCUCAAUCGCAAGUUUCCCUCAGGAUAGCUGGCACUCGGGAAACAGUUUUAUCCGGUAAGGCGAUAUGAUUAGAGGCAUUGGGGUCGAAACGACCUCGACCUAUUCUCAAACUUUAAAUGGGUAAGAUGCUCGUCUCGCUUAAUUGGAGGCGGGCUUCACCUCUCUAUUAAACGUUGAAUGUGAGUGCGCCAGUGGGCCAUUUUUGGUAAGCAGAACUGGCGCUGUGGGAUGAACCAACACGCGCGGUUAAGGCGCCCAAUGCGGAACGCUCAUGAGACACCACAAAAGGUGUUGAGGUACAACGGUACUGACAGAACGCAGGAACGGUUGGCCAUGGAAGUCGGCAACCCGCUAAGGAGUGUGGUGUACAACUCAGCUGCCGAAUCACCAGCCCUGAAAAUGGAUGGCGCUGGAGCGUCGGGCCUAUACCGUGCCGUUGGGCGAAGCAGACAAAUAAUCUGCUUGUGGAUGUCCCAACGAGUAGGAGGGUCGCGCGUGGUGAGCGCAGAAGGUGCGGCGUGAGGGCCGCUGCUGGAGCCGCCACGGGCGCAGAUCUGGUGGUAGUAGCAAUUACUCAAGUUGAGAACCUUGAGGACUGAAGUGGAGAAGGGUUCCAUGUGAACAGGCAGCAGUUGAACAUGGUGAGGCGGAUCAGGCGGUCCUAAGCGAUGCGGUAACUCGCGUACCAUUAGAAGAGGGUGACAACUAUCACUGAUUAAAUAAACUGUGAAGUGUUAUAGCCCUCCGCGAGCGAAAGGGAAUCGUGUUAAUAUUCACGACCCCUUACCGUGGAGAUCGCCCUUUCGGGGGCAAGUGCGGUUAACGCAAACGAACACAGAGACGUUCGGCUGGAAGCCCCGGGAGAGUUCUCUUUUUCUUUGUAGAGACGUACCCACCUGGAAAUCGGCUUGUCCGCGGGAUAGGGGCGUGGCUUCCGUCUAAAGCAGCGCGGUGUCUUGCGCUGUCCGGUGCACUCUUAGUCGGCCCUUGAAAAUCUCUGUGGGAGACAUGUGUGAUUUUCACGGUAGGCCGUACCCCAUUCCGCAGCAGGUCUCCAAGGUGAACAGCUCUAGUCCUAGAACAAUGUAGGUAGGGAAGUCGGGCAAAAUGGAAUUUUUUUUUUCCCCCGUAACUUCGGGAAAAGGCAUUGGCUCUGAGGCUGGUCGGAUGGGCUGGCGUAGAAGCUGUUCCGGUUUUUGUGUGAGGACUGGGUGAGGCUUUCGGGCUUUAACUCGGACCAUGCCGAGACCAGGCAGUAGACGACGUCAGCUGUGCUUGUCGUGUUUCGGCGCGGGCAGCUUCGUCCGGCAACAAAGCAGCAACUCAGAACUGGCACGGACUAGGGGGAUCCGACUGUCUAAUUAAAACAAAGCAUUGCGAUUGGCUGUUGUCGCGAGUUUGUGUUGAACGCAAUGUGAUUUCUGCCCAGUGCUACUGAAUGUUCAAAGUGAAGAAAUUCAAAAUCAAGCGCGGGGUAAACGGCGGGGUAGUAACUAUGACUCUCUUUUAAGGUAAGCAAAUUGCCUCGUCAUCUAAUAUAGUGACGUGCACGCGCAUGAAUGGAUUCAACGCGAGAUUCCCAAUGUCGCCUAUCUACUAUCUAGGAAACACAUACAGCCAUAAAGAGGGAACGGGAACGCUGCUUGGCCAGACAAUCAGCGGGGGAAGAAGACCCUGUUGAGAGCUUGACUGAAACUAGUCCGGACUUUGUGAAGAGACAUGAGAGCGGUGUAGAUAUAGGUGGGAGCGUCAGCGACUUUGUGAAAAUACCAUACUUUUAUCGUUUCUUUAACUUAUUCAGUGAAGCGGGAGCGGCGCUGCUCACGGGCCUCGUUUCUGGUGUUAACGGCUGGCCCUCGCGGCCGGCCGUGACCUGCUCUGAAGACAGUGUCAGGCGCGGGAGUUUGACUGGGGCCGGUCACAUGCUGUCAAAGGGUAACGCAGGUGUCCCAAGAUGAGCUCAGUCAGGACAGAAACCGGCGUAGAGCAAAAGGGCAAAAGCUCAUUUGAUUUUGAUUUUGCAGUACGAAUACAGACGUGAAAAGCGCGGCCUAUCGAUCCGCUUUGAUUAAUCAGACAGUUUGAUGCAAGGGGUGUCAGAAAAGUUACCACAGGGAUAACUGGCUUGUGGCGGCAAGCGUUCAUUAGCGACGUCGCUUUUUGAUGUCCUUCGAUGUCGGCUCUUCCUAUUCAUUGUGAGAGCAGAAUUCACCAAGCGUUUGGAUUGUUCACCUGGUCCACCAAUAGGGAAGCGUGAGCUGGGUUUUAGGGUCGUGAGAAGGUUAGUUUUUACCUAUCUGAUGUCCUUGUCGUUGCUAUGGUAAUCCUGCUUAGUACGAGAGGGAACCGCAGGUUUCAGACAUUUGUUUAAUGUGCUUGGUCGAAAGACCAAUGGUGCGAAGCUACCAUCUGAGGAUUAAGACUGAAAGCCUCUUAAGUCUGAAAUCCGCGCCAGAAAUGCCAACGAUACUAUCGGUGCCCUACGCCGGGAGGCAACGAUACAUACUCGGCCCGAAAUCCGAUUUCGGCGGCCGAGACCUGGCUAAAAGCCACUGGCGAUACUGGCCACGACCCGCUGUCUUGAAAUUUGGCAAGUGGAGGCAACAGACACGAUACAGUUUUUUUUUUUUUUCCAUUGAUUGAGACGCGUAGGGGUUCUAUAUCCGUUUGUAGACGAACUUAGAUCUGCGGUCGGGGUGCCGUAGCUUAGUUGAAGCAGUUCUUCACCUGCGAUCUAUUGAGGCUAAGCCUUUUGACGGGAGAGAUAUGU